CAGCAGCCGCGGGAAUACGGAGGGUGCAAGCGUUAAUCGGAAUUACUGGGCGUAAAGCGUGCGUAGGCGGUUCGUUAAGUCUGUUGUGAAAGCCCCGGGCUCAACCUGGGAAUGGCAAUGGAUACUGGCGAGCUAGAGUGUGUCAGAGGAUGGUGGAAUUCCCGGUGUAGCGGUGAAACGCGUAGAGAUCGGGAGGAACAUCAGUGGCGAAGGCGGCCAUCUGGGACAACACUGACGCUGAGGCACGAAAGCGUGGGGAGCAAACGGGAUUAGAUACCCCAGUAGUCCCUGUCUCUUAUAC
rnacentral:rRNA from 1 species